rnacentral:rRNA from 1 species
AGAGUUUGAUCAUGGCUCAGAUUGAACGCUGGCGGCAGGCCUAACACAUGCAAGUCGAGCGGUAGCACAGGAGAGCUUGCUCUCUGGGUGACGAGCGGCGGACGGGUGAGUAACGUCUGGGAAACUGCCUGAUGGAGGGGGAUAACUACUGGAAACGGUAGCUAAUACCGCAUAACGUCUUCGGACCAAAGUGGGGGACCUUCGGGCCUCACGCCAUCAGAUGUGCCCAGAUGGGAUUAGCUAGUAGGUGGGGUAAUGGCUCACCUAGGCGACGAUCCCUAGCUGGUCUGAGAGGAUGACCAGCCACACUGGAACUGAGACACGGUCCAGACUCCUACGGGAGGCAGCAGUGGGGAAUAUUGCACAAUGGGCGCAAGCCUGAUGCAGCCAUGCCGCGUGUGUGAAGAAGGCCUUCGGGUUGUAAAGCACUUUCAGCGAGGAGGAAGGGUAGUGUGUUAAUAGCACAUUGCAUUGACGUUACUCGCAGAAGAAGCACCGGCUAACUCCGUGCCAGCAGCCGCGGUAAUACGGAGGGUGCAAGCGUUAAUCGGAAUUACUGGGCGUAAAGCGCACGCAGGCGGUUUGUUAAGUCAGAUGUGAAAUCCCCGCGCUUAACGUGGGAAUUGCAUUUGAAACUGGCAAGCUAGAGUCUUGUAGAGGGGGGUAGAAUUCCAGGUGUAGCGGUGAAAUGCGUAGAGAUCUGGAGGAAUACCGGUGGCGAAGGCGGCCCCCUGGACAAAGACUGACGCUCAGGUGCGAAAGCGUGGGGAGCAAACAGGAUUAGAUACCCCGGUAGU